rnacentral:rRNA from 1 species
UACGGAGGGGGCAAGCGUUAUUCGGAAUUAUUGGGCGUAAAGGGCGCGUAGGCGGCUAGAUGUGUCAAAGGUGAAAUCCCUCGGCUCAACUGAGGAACUGCCUUUGAAACUGUCUGGCUUGAGGCCGGGAGAGGGUAGCGGAAUUCCCAGUGUAGCGGUGAAAUGCGUAGAUAUCGAGAGGAACACCUGCGGCGAAGGCGGGUUGCUGGGCUGAUACUGACGCUGAGGCGCGAAAGCCAGGGGAGCGAACGGG